rnacentral:rRNA from 1 species
UGUCUACGGGGGGCAGCAGUGAGGAAUAUUGGUCAAUGGGAGAGAUCCUGAACCAGCCAAGCCGCGUGAGGGAAGACGGCCCUAUGGGUUGUAAACCUCUUUUGUCGGAGAACAAAACCCGGGACGUGUCCCGGACUGCGUGUAUCCGAAGAAAAAGCAUCGGCUAACUCCGUGCCAGCAGCCGCGGUAAUACGGAGGAUGCGAGCGUUAUCCGGAUUUAUUGGGUUUAAAGGGUGCGUAGGCGGAAGGUUAAGUCAGCGGUCAAAUGUCGGUGCUCAACACCGGCCUGCCGU